rnacentral:tRNA from 1 species
GCUCCUUUCGUCUAGCCUGGUCAGGACUACGCGUUUUCAUCGCGUCAACAGGGGUUCGAAUCCCCUAGGGAGUACCA